rnacentral:pre_miRNA from 1 species
UAUGUACUUCCUCCGUUCCAAAUUACUUGUCGCACGUAUGGAUGUAUCUAGAUGUAUUUUAGUUUUAGAUACAUCCAUUUCAGCGACGAGUAAUUUGGAAUGGAGGGAGUAGUUA